UGCCGCGUGUGUGAAGAAGGCCUUAUGGUUGUAAAGCACUUUAAGCGAGGAGGAGGCUACUGCAGCUAAUACCUUCAGAUAGUGGACGUUACUCGCAGAAUAAGCACCGGCUAACUCUGUGCCAGCAGCCGCGGUAAUACAGAGGGUGCAAGCGUUAAUCGGAUUUACUGGGCGUAAAGCGCGCGUAGGCGGCUAAUUAAGUCAAAUGUGAAAUCCCCGAGCUUAACUUGGGAAUUGCAUUCGAUACUGGUUAGUUACAGAGGGGGAGAGGAUGGUAGAAUUCCAGGUGUAGCGGUGAAAUGCGUAGAGAUCUGGAGGAAUACCGAUGGCGAAGGCAGCCAUCUGGCCUAACACUGACGCUGAGGUGCGAAAGCAUGGGGAGCAAACAGGAUUAGAUACCCUGGUAGUCCAUGCCGUAAACGAUGUCUACUAGCCGUUGGGGCCUUUGAGGCUUUAGUGGCGCAGCUAACGCGAUAAGUAGACCGCCUGGGGAGUACGGUCGCAAGACUAAAACUCAAA
rnacentral:rRNA from 1 species